UAGGGGGCGGCUGUUGAAGUGGUAAGUUGUAGCCUUAUUUAUGGGAAUUUUCUCUCCCCU
rnacentral:tRNA from 1 species